GCGGCAUUCCCUUCAGUGGGAACGGCGGAGAGGAGGUUGUAUGUGCAAGUGAGGCCAGCGGUGAUUGGUUAUGUGCUGUCUGUGUGUUUUAACAGUCACUUGAACCAAUUUCAGCUUCAUCAUAAAAGAGCGGGACACACAAUGGAGAAGUCAUCAGUUCAUCACAAGAAGAUAAGUGCUGACCUUCAUCCUUUUGUGGGGUCAGUUUGGAAAAACCUGUCAGCCUGAUGUGGCGUUUAUCAGACUGGGGGAGGGGAGAAGGAGUACUUGGACAGUACUGACAUUUACAAAGAGAAGCUGCAAACACCUUCUUAUAUUAUCAGUAUGAUAAACACAGACCAUGUACUGUCACUUUCCUCCUGUGGUUUUCUGAUCCAAAUAUACUUGACUGGUUCUGACUCUUUCCCUGCAUUAAACCGCAAACAUUGAGAUUGGUUUAUGGACAGACUGUCACACCCAAUGAAGGAAAUCAACAUUGUUGACCGUAUGGGGAAAAUGCCAACUAGCAAUGUUUGUCCUAUAAAACAUCUUCAUCCACUCAAUUGCAGAACACACUGAAUCCCUUUUGGGGGCACAGGAGAUUAUCCCAGCUGCUGUUUGGUGACGGUGGGGUACACACUGGAUAGAUUGACACUCCAUGCACACUCAUACACCUGAAAGCUAGCAUCAUCAGUUUACCCAGGGGUGUACAAAGUCGGCCCUUGAGGGCAGAUGUCCUACUUGUUUUCCAAUCAACCUGCCUUUGAAGCUCCUUAUUGGCCAAACACACCUGAUCAAGGUAAUCAGCAGCAAAUAAGGCAGAGUUUCUGGAAAACCAGUAGGAAGACAGCCCUCAAGAACCAACUUUGGACACCCCUGAAUUAACUUAUAAAGCAUUUAGACAGAAAAGUCCCAGCUGGGAUUUGGACCAGGGCCUUCUUUCUAUGAGGUGAGAGUGCUAACCAUUGCGCACCAUGCAGCCCAAAAACCUCAUUAUUCAUAUAAUCUGUAGUUGAUUUCCAUAAGCCAUUUUAAAAGUCAUUCUUAUUUAUUUGGUGCAUUUGGAUCCCCAGACUGAAAUGAAUGUAAAGUCAGUGGAGAGCUUUUCAUGUGAGUAACUCUAUUAGUUGAAAUGAUCCCAGAGUUUCAUUACCAUAGCAAAUGUGCAGUAUUCCAGUGGAUGUGAUGAAUGCAUCUCUUAUCUCCAUAAAAAGAACAAACCACAUUUCACACGUUGAAUUGGUGAGACGGGAACAAUUAGUGAAGCUGUGUGGAGGUUUAAUUGAAGUGUUAACAUGCUUGAAUAGCUUAUUUAGCAUCUUUUGUUUGUACCAAACCAGAGUUCAUGUCAAAUUUCAACACAUUUUUUGUGUGUGAGACUUGUGAGGGGAAGGGUCAGACUAUUAAAAUAUCUACAUUUUUUGUUUACUUACCUUCCUAUUGAUGUUUUUUGCAUCACUGACCACAUUUUGCUGUGUCACAUGCAAUUAAAUCACAGUGAUGGGAUGCACUUGAAUAUUUUACGAGAAACCAUGCAGUUUUUUAUAAAUUAGGUUUAAGUUAUAAUCAGUGCAGACAUUCACAAUGUCGAGCCAAUCAGCUGCCUUACACUCUAAGAGGGCAGUGGGAUUAGCAUUAAAAUCAAGCCUGGUCCUGGUGCUGAGGCGACUGAUGAGAUUGAAGGCAGAAUGAUCGAAUUUCAAUGAGUUUCAAAGGUCUGGCCUUCUUUUGUUUUUGAUAUUGGGGAACACUGCCUGGUGAGAUGUCGCUCAAAACCAGGGAGACAAAAAAAAUACAAAUGAAAAGGAUUUUCUUGGUCACCUACACAGAUCAGUGGAUUUACUGCAUGUAAUUGGGGUGAGAUUAACACAAAUCUGACCAGAUCUCAUCCACAAUAUAAUUGAAGGCACUAAUACGAAAGCUCAUUAUAAAAAGAGACCAGCCUUUAGUGGUGUUUGACAAAAGGGCAAGGUAUUCAAAAAUCAAUGCAACAUAAUCUGUCACCUGCAGCUAUAUUAGUUUCUGGUCAGAGUUCAUCAAAAUGAUCAUUAAUAGGACUUUCUUGGAUCAUGUUUUGUAAAUCCUCUGAUUCUUCAGUUUCUGGAAGUCAAGUUGCUUGAAUAUAGUAGGAAUAAUUUAAAGUGCGUGUUUUUACUUUCUCCUUUUCCAUCAAGUUUUUGCAUCAAAACAAAGCCAUCUAUUAUUUUUUCUCAUCGACAAUAAAUUGUGCUAAACUUGUGAAAAAAUGGUAAAACAUUUUAAUUCAGUUGAUGACCCUUAUUUACCUCAUUCAAAUAUUUUUAUUCACCUUCCUGUAAAACAUUUGUCAAAUUUUGCAUUUAGUAUUAAAAACUACUAAUGUCUUCUCAUCUUUUUAAACAGUGAGGAACAAGUUUUUGAAUGCAAAUCUUUUUUACUUUGGAUUUUGAAUAACAAACACCUGCACAGUUUCUAAUUAUGCAAAUGAGUAGUUUGAAUAGGGUAAAUAAGAACUUGUUGAGUUGUUGCACCUGGUUGAUCAACAAGAAACUUGGCUGAAAGGAGACACCGAUUUGAAAUACUGCAACUUUUGAAAUCUACAAUUUUGGACGAUCGUGGACUGAGUCUGAAAUUUAAAAACAACUUAAAAUAAGCCUUAUAGAAAAAUCAAAGUAUGCUGAGAGUUUUUGUUUACAGUAGUUUUGCUGUUGAAGCUUUGACAACGCAAUCACUCUGAGAAGAUAAAACAUCUACAUUCCUGAGAUAAGGAACCAAGUUUCUUCUAACGUUGCAAAGUACAAGACGCACACGUUUAUGAACCAAAAAAAAAA